GGAAAGGUGGCAGAGUGGUCGAAUGCGCCGGACUCGAAAUCCGGUGUACGGUUCAUACCGUACCGAGGGUUCGAAUCCCUCCCUUUCCGCCA
rnacentral:tRNA from 1 species